CAGGAUGGGCAACGGCCGUCGUUUGCGAGGAAGCCCACAAGCCUCGAGGUCCUCCUGAACUCUCUUGUGAGCGGGGAAUGGUUUUUGUCUGCAAAAGUAGGUGCAGUCUAGCCGACCCUAAACGCACGGGCUACUGCGACAAGGACUUCCAUUGCGUGUGCAUAACAGCUCCGUCCGGCCACGGUUCAUGAUGGGCUGAAGGUACUCAACUAUACGUGCCAAAAGGGCGUCUUUCAAUAAAAUGAGGCCCUCUCUAGCCUUGUCCCGUC